rnacentral:lncRNA from 1 species
GUGAUCGAUUCCCAGUGCCAUCCUGAACCACAAGAUUGGAAUAUCGCACCUUUCAACUGCCUGGGCUGAUAAACAAUACAGCAUGUACUCAGCUUCAUAAACACUCUGCCUUGUUACAAAGGGCAUUGCAAACUCGCCGUGAUAGGACUUGACCUUAAAAGCUAUAGACAAUCUAGUGGAGCACAGACGGUUUCAUAAAGUACAAUCACUUCCUGGAAUUCUUGGGCCAGUGCAGUCGGAGCCGUGCAAAUCCUGUUUUCCUUGCAUUGUUUCCUGCAUGUGAAUAUCAUCAGUCUAGCAGUCUCGCUCUGUCGCCAGGCUGGAGUGCAGUGGGGCAAUCUCGGCUCAUUGCAGCCUCUGUCUCCCGGGUUCAAGCGAUUCUCCUGCUUCAGCCUCCCGAGUAGCUGGGACUAUAGGUGCAUGCCACCACGAGCAGUUAAUUUUUGUCUUUUUAGUAGAGACGAGGUUUCACCAUGUUGGCCAGGCUGGUCUCGAUCUCUUGACCUCAUGAUCUGCUGGCCUCGGCCUUCCAAAGUGCUGGGAUUACAGCUGUGUGCCACCGUGCCAGGCCCAUCUAACUUUUUAAUAUAGAUUGUAUGAUGUUUUCAUAAAACAAGUAGGGCUCAGAAAGGCCGUAUAAAGCCACACAGCCAGCAAGCAGCAGAGUCUGCAUUUUAAUCCAGAUGUUCAUGGCUUCAAAGCAAUGUUAUUUAACUCUAACAAUGCAAUUGAACUAACAAUUGACAUCAGACACAAAUAUUCUAAAGAACCUGGAGAAAUAGAAAAGAAUUGGAUAGAACUGAUGGCUCAUAGGCAGAAGCUGUGCAUCAGGAAGAGGAAAUAAAUGGCAUUGUUCAGCCAUGAAGCUGUAUAAUUUCAACCUGACUUUCCUUCU